rnacentral:rRNA from 1 species
UGGGGAAUAUUGGACAAUGGGCGCAAGCCUGAUCCAGCCAUGCCGCGUGAGUGAUGAAGGCUCUAGGGUUGUAAAGCCCUUUCACCGGUGAAGAUAAUGACGGUAACCGGAGAAGAAGCCCCGGCUAACUUCGUGCCAGCAGCCGCGGUAAUACGAAGGGGGCUAGCGUUGUUCGGAUUUACUGGGCGUAAAGCGGACGUAGGCGGACUUUUAAGUCAGGGGUGAAAUCCCGGGGCUCAACCCCGGAACUGCCUUUGAUACUGGAAGUCUUGAGUAUGGUAGAGGUGAGUGGAAUUCCGAGUGUAGAGGUGAAAUUCGUAGAUAUUCGGAGGAACACCAGUGGCGAAGGCGGCUCACUGGACCAUUACUGACGCUAAAGUGCGAAAGCGUGGGGAGCAAGCAGG